UUUAAUGCCUAUUUAUAAAACUUUAUUGAAAGUGUUACCCUGGUCAGGGGGUCAGUAUAUACGUCUAGACGGUGGUAUAUAUGACAUGGGUGUGGCUGAUCCUAUCUGUGUACGGGAGACGUGACGGUAUUGAGCAAUAUGCUGCCCAUCUGAAAUUUGUCAACGUUGGAUAACUGACAGUCGAUCUUGCUUCAGCAUCCUAGAGAGGUUAUUAUAACAGAAGAUUCCCAAGUGUGACGACGCAGCUGUAUUAACAAAUGAAGCUCUUUUUCAUGUAUGAAGUAUAUAUACAUUGGGCGUCACUGACGCCCAUUCAAAAUUUUUUCUUGUGCGGAGCUUUUGUACCUAUGACACAUAUUUGAGAUCAGCCGAUACCUAGUGCUGAGGCUCGGGUUACACUUACCACACAGACGGACAGAGUGACAAGUUAUUCCACAGGCGUAUACAGUGGCCGGGAUACAUGGAUACAUUAUCACAAAUUCGGGUAAACCCUAUCGUGCGGAUCCGGGGAUCAUAUGUCAAAUAUAUCGUACACGAGCUGCUGUUCACUUCACAAAGCCUUGUCCCAGAUUCUCUACAGUGCCAGGCCAUUGAGCGGGUGUUUCAGUAUGGCCUUCAGCUGCUGGAGGAAAGAGUCAGGCUCUCCUGCAGCCGAGCAAACCUCCAUAGUUUAAAUGAAGAUCAGAUGAAGAUUCUGGAGAAGGAGUUACUCGGGUCUGAAGACAGGCUGAUGGGGGCCUUCAUGUCUGAAGGAAGUUGCGAAGAUAUACCGGAUUACGAACCUCUCUCAGAUGCUGACAAUGAUGCUGAAAUUGAAACAGGUCCUCACAACUUCGACCUUGCACUCUCCAAUCAUCAUCAGGAACUGAUGGCAUGUCUGAACACAAGGGGGACACUUCUGCUCGACGUCAUGGCUCAGAAUGACCUCCUUAGUGAUUCUGACGAGGAGGACAUUCAGAAAUACGAGUUCCAUGGAGAAAGGAACCAACGUGUUCUUGAGAUCCUUUCUACAACAUCACCAAAGAAAAACAUAAAAUGUGUGACUGAAUUCAUUAAAGCUACUAACCCCGAUCUUGGAAGGAGAUUGUCGAAGUCUAUGCGGGAAUUGGCUCGCGGAUCCCGCGAACAAUGUGCAGCAUGUACAGUUGUCACACAAAUCGAUCCAAGUCGCAUUGCAAAGCUUAUGUUUCAUAACAAAACUAUACCUGUCCGCUUUUAUCAAGACCUUAAGAACCCUGCGAUUUCGAGUCAAAAGAAAUGGAAUAUUAUCAAAGAGAAGGAUUUAGACAUUGCUGCAGUAGAGGCCCUACAGCCUAAGUUUCAACAUUUUCAUGACAUGUUUGGAGACGACAAACGCCUUAUCUGCAGAUGCGACAGGAUCAGCGUUGAAGACCUCCCUGCAGGCGUCAUGACAAGAAGUUCAGGGGCGAGUACUUUCCGUAACUGGUUGUCCAAGCCCAAGGACGCAGAAGAACGGGAAAUCAUUCAAAUGAAGAAUGACAUAUUUAACAUCUCCAAGAGUCUAGAGGAUAUAAAAAGCCAAGUUUUCCUGUCACAACAGGAUGACCAGGAGUCUGUACGGUUUUGUUCCACACAUCCUUGGAUGGAAACUGCAGUACAGAGGUCGCCCCCACUUUGUGUCUUCCCACGAUCUCCAUCAUGACACAGCUGUGUACGGGAAUAGGGGUGGGCUCGUCUGGAGACCAAACUUCAAUAAAACACGUGAAUGGAAUCCAGGGGAUGACAAACCCAAGAAAAGAAGUCGGAAUAUGUUCGAGAGACUUAGGAAGAAGCUGCUGCGGAACUAAAUACUUCUGUUCUUGAGUGAGAAGAAGACUGCCAGAGGCCCAAGGAGGUCACUGGCAGAGGGCAUGCAGAUUGGAUCACGGGUCGAGACUGGGAUAUGAAUGAAGGUUUAUCAGGGAAAGAUGUCAAACUUUUCAUUCGUGUCAGGUCAGCACUGGUAUUGCAUAAUCAAAUCAAACAUGGGUAAAGUAUCUCUCGGACUAUUCGUGUCAUUGGAAUGUGCGAGACAGCACAAUUAACGGCAGCAAUGUUUUAAUGCCCAGUCAUGUGCCAAACCCCUGGUGGGGAUAUAUCUAUCACGCUCGAUAUCAGAUAUGUGUAUGUUAUCUAAAUUUAUAUAAGAAGUUAUUGUUAUUACAAAUUGUGACCGCCUCCUUGGUCUAGUGGUAGAGCGUCCACCCGGAGAGCGGAAGGUUCGGGGUUCGAUUCCCGGUCGCG